rnacentral:lncRNA from 1 species
GGGGGACCCAAAGGCCUGGCUGUGCUGGGGAUGCGGUGGGGCUGCUUUGAGGCCUGCUCAAGCUGGGGACACCCCAAGGCCUGACUGUGGUGGGGACACCUCACGUCCUGACAUGGGGACACCCCACGGCCUGCCCAGGAUGGGGGGACCCAAAAGCCUGGCCGUGGUGGAGAUGUGGUGGGGCUACCUGAGGGUCUAGAUGUGUUAGGGUCAUUCUGUGGCCUGCCCAGCUGGGGACACUGUGGGGACACCCAAAGGCCUGCCCAGGCUGGGGAUGGGAAGGGCUGAGCCCCCCCACUACGCUGCUCUGGCG